rnacentral:rRNA from 1 species
UACGAGAGGCCCCAAACGUUAUUCGGAUUUACUGGGCUUAAAGAGUUCGUAGGCGGCGCAGAAAGUAGGGUGUGAAAGCCCUCGGCUCAACCGAGGAAUUGCGCCCUAAACUACUGUGCUCGAGGAAGCUAGAGGUGAGCGGAACUGAUGGUGGAGCGGUGAAAUGCGUUGAUAUCAUCAGGAACACCGGAGGCGAAGGCGGCUCACUGGGGCUUUUCUGACGCUGAGGAACGAAAGCCAGGGGAGCGAACGGGAUUAGAUACCCUUGUAGU